rnacentral:lncRNA from 1 species
AGUUGGUGGUGUUUCUCUUCAACAAGCCCCUUCCUCUCCUCCUGUGGCAUUGCAGCAACAGCUGCCUGCCCGGCAUAGAUGUUCAAGCACUUGGUGCAGCAGGACGGGUGGUUCUGCUCUCUAAUGAACUAGAUAAAUCACACGAAAUUGGCUAAGAGGGACCGUCAACGUGGAGGAGAAAGGGAAAAAGAGUGUUUGAGGAGACCUUGAUUUCAAACGUUGCGGUGCGGGUCCACCAUUUGUCCUAACCAAGCACCUUCUGAAGGUGUGAAAUACGUGGCUUAAAGCCUUUUUUCCCCUCACUGAGCUUUGACAGGGAGGAAAUGGUUAUGCAUAACCAUGCUUUUUACGUGUUUCUUAAGCACUCUUUCCUCUUGAUGGUGUAGCCCUAACAUUGAAAUACCUGGGACGCGUCUCUCUGCACCUUGCAUACCGCGUUUAAAACGAGAGCAUCACGGGCGAAAUCCUAGGUGGUCUCCACCAUGGCUGGCGCCGCCAGGGCUGCCCUCCCGCAUGCGGCUCGGUGCGACGCGGCUUAUAUGGAAAUAUUCCUGCAAUGCAUCUAAAGAGAAGACAAAUGGCAGCGUUUAUGGAAGGCAGCAGAUUGUACUGCAACGUGCGCGUAGGGUGGAGGAGGCUGGCGUCCCAUCCCUCCGCUGCAGCCCCUUGCUAAAGAGGGAUUGACGUGAUUUUGUUUAAAUAUGAUGCGUGUUACACCGGCCUGAUGUAAAGAUUAACACAAUAGAGUCCUUAACCUGCUUAAGGACUCUGGGUCCUGCCCCAAGGUAAAUAGUGAAUACAGUUGUGUUUGCCCAGCGGGUUUGGCUGUGGGGGAAAAAUAGCUGGGAGUCUGCUCUUUUUUUCUUGCUAACUGCUGGUCUCACACACCAGUCAAUUCCAAUCCAGAGUUUUUCUGAGGAAGUAGUUCAGCCUUUCUAACAAACCAAAAAACUUCUUGGAUAUGGUAGCUCUACUUCAGCUCAAGUCCCAUUUUUUUGUAUUUAAAAAGCAAACCCAUCAACUUGGAAAAAAAAAAAAUAAAAAUAAAUGCUGACCUAUCUAGCUGAUGUAA